rnacentral:tRNA from 1 species
AGUAAAAUCAGCUAAUACUAAGCUUUUGGGCCCAUACCCCAAACACGUUGGUUAAAAUCCUUCUUUUACUA